GUUCGUCUUGGCGCUAGUUGAAGCGUCGGUUACAGUGUACAGUGCGCGUUCAGAUUCAGAAUGAAAUCAGACUGAUUGUAGGAGAAUCAUGUUGAGGAGAGCGAGCAGCGGGAAGAGCAGCUCGGUGGGGUUUGAUGAAUUCGGUUUUGCUCUCAGCAAGAAAAGAGACAGGAAACUCCAACACAGAUGUCACGACUACAGUUAUCCUCAGCCUAAUCCAGUUAAAGUGAAGGAACUGUGUGAAUUCCUCAGUUACUGGAAUGGAGCCAGUUUUAUCUGCAGAAAUCAGAUCGAGAAGUUUAUUCGUAUCGGUAUUCCUCCAGCAAUACGUGGACGAGUUUGGAAAUGCCUCCUAAAUAUCGACAGUAUCAGAGCUGCCAGCUCUUUUGAUUAUGAGGCUUGUCAGGCUGAGAUCCGUAAACCUCUGGUUGAUCUUGGAGUGAGUGAGUACAGUAUCAUCCCUACUAUAGACUCUCUAGUGGACACAGAGAAUGAGAUCAGCAGCGGACAGGCUUCGGAUCUCCUCAGCGCUGACCUAACGCUCUUCAAACAGAUCGCCCUCGACCUGCGAAGGUCGUUUCCCACCCAUCGCACUCUGAUGGGGGACCGUCCGGAGGCUAUUGAGGGCCAGGCCAAACUUUUCAGAGUUCUUACCGCAUUUGCCCGAUAUAAUCCCCAGAUUGGAUAUGU
rnacentral:lncRNA from 1 species